rnacentral:lncRNA from 1 species
GGUGUCCUCAGAGCCCCCGGCGGCCCGAGGCGCGCAGUCCCGCCGCCGCUGCGGGCGUCGGGCCGAAGACCGAGCUGCGGCAGGACCGAGCGGCGGCAGGACCGAGCGACGGCAGGCGGCAGCUCCCGGAGAGGCCCCGCUGCGUUUCCAAAGCCUCAGGCAAAAUGCCCUCCACGGGCUUUGCGAAGCCCACCUAGGAGGCGGGGCCUUUCCUUCCCGGAGGCCGCCCGGUCCGGAGCUCGCGUCCGGCUGAGACUGAGCCCCAACCCGGUCCCACGCGCCGACCCCCGCCCCUCAGCCCCCACUCUCCUCAGAAGCCCAACUCAGGAAAAGUGGAGAAACUCCGCUUUCCAGGGCGCCCAGCGACCGGGACCCCAGCGGCGCCGGCGGGCUCAGGUAGGUGCUUCUGGGGGUGCGGCCCCCGGAGGCGGGGUCGGGGCGCUGCCCCCAGGCCGCCUCCCGCGUCCGUGCUGUUUGCGUUGGCGGCGCUCCCCCCCUCCUCCCCCCGUGGCCCGCGCCCCCGCAGACCAGGCCUUCGCUAGGGGCCCUCCCCCGGGCGGAGCCGCCUGGCCGCCGGGUGUGUAGGCGGCGCUGGAGACGCGCUGAGCGGCCUCGGAAAACCAUGCGUCGGUCUUGUGGAGGAAGAAGGCGGGUCACGAGACAGCACGUGUGACACGGUCUUGUCUGCGAGGACACACGGACACUGUGCACAGAAACCCGGAGGGUUCGAAGCCACCAGAAGUAUGCAACACCAGACUCUGUUUUGGGAUGACUGGAUUAUAGGAAAAUAAUCACAGCCACCAGUGGGAAGAGAGUCAGUGGAUGGAUCCUGGGCAUGACCUUGCUCCUUAGUGACCCCAUGACCGUCCCCCUGGAGUUACAGAGAGAGAGAGAGGCAGAGACACAGGCAGAGGGAGAAGCAGGCUCCAUGCACCGGGAGCCCGACGUGGGAUUCGAUCCCGGGUCUCCAGGAUCGCGCCCUGGGCCAAAGGCAGGCGCCAAACCGCUGCGCCACCCAGGGAUCCCUAGAAUCCUGACAAGCAAGAAUGCUACCUGAGGGCUGCCAUGCUGCAAAGUAUGACAGCCUGCUCUCGGAGAACCAUAAAUAUUUGGAAUUUGAAGUGAAUUGGGAACUUAACAACAACAAAACUAAAGUUUGAAAACAAGUUAGCCAAAGCCUAGAUUCCUUGAAAUGCAUUGGAUAAGCACCGCAUUAAAGCUGACCUUUUUGCAAGAGUUUUGGAAGAAUGUUGUCUCACAGAGAGAAAAUCUGGUGAUAACCAUCAUCAAGGAGAAAGCUAGAGAGAAAAGGAAAGAAGCCAUCAUAAAAGGCCCAGUGUUUGGAAGGCAGAAACCCAGCUCUGACACCCCUUGGGUUUGUGUGAUGGCCAGCUCGGGCCUUUUACCGCCAACUGCAGCACUGGAUCCUUCUCCAUCCUACACUUGGACCUCUGGCAACUUCUCCACCAACUGCUCCAAUCCUGUUACCUUGAGCAUAGUUGUUUCUGAUCCCAGGUCCCCAAAUCCAGAAUGGCAAAUUUUGGGAGUUCAAAGGAGAUGUGAGAAUUUGAUAGAGUAGCUCCAGGGGUCAGUUUGGAUCAGAGUCUGGUAGAAAUGAACAGGUUUUUUGUUUUGUUUUGUUUUGUUUUGUUUUGCCUUAUGCUAGGCAAAAUAGUUCUAUUCCCUAUUGCCUUAUGAUUAACAUGGCCAGAUUUAGAAAUAAAAAUACAAGUGCAUUGAUAAUAUGCUACAGCGGGGAUGGACCUUGAAAUCAAGCUAAGUAAAAGAAGGUAAUCACAGAAGACCACAUAUUGUGUGAGUCCAUAUAGGUCAAAGGUCCAGAAUGGGUAAAUCUAUAAAAGUAGAAAGUAAAUUAGUGGUUUCCCAAGGCUGCAGAAUAAGGGGACCUCGGGGAUGGGGCUCAGGGUUUCUUUUUGAGGUGAUAAAAUGUUUUAAAAUCAGCUUGUGAAAUGGCUGCACAACUCUGAAUAUACUGAAAUCCGUGGCUUCUUAUACUUAAAGUGAUAGAAUUUUAUGAUACAUGACUAUCUUAAUAAAGCUGUUUUUAAUAAUACAGGAUGGCAAGUUAAAUUUGAAUUUCAGAUAAACUAUGAAAAUAAAUUUAGCGUAAGUAUAUGCUAUGCAAUCGUUGAGGUAGAUUUAUACUGAAAACAUUUUCAUUAUUUAUUUGAAAUCCACAUUUAAAUGGAUGUCCUGUAUUUUAUUUGGCAACCCUACUUAGGAUUCGAUUAAAUGUCUCAGAAAGCACCAAUCAACAGCAAAAGUAAGAAGAAAUGGUUCAUGAGAUGUCAUUUAAAGAGAUUUAUGGAGACCCCCUACAUCUUUUGGGCAUCAAAAUUCUUAACAACUAACCAAGACCAAGAACUUCUGAAUUUAAUGAUAAUCACUUUUUAAAAAUUAAAUUUUAGCUGCCACGACAGAGAAAUCCAAGGAGAGAAGAAAUAACAUUGAAAUUCUAUAUUAAAAAUUUCCAAAAGUUAUAGAAAAUGUCUAGAAGUGAGAGGAAGUGGAUAUUUUAUAAGAACCUACUAAUCUUUACAUUGUACGAGUCUUAUUAGAAACAUUUUAGGGGAAGUUCACGAGUGUGGAUCUAAAGAUUUUGACUUGUUCACACAGAUGAAAAAUUAUUAUAAUGGGGCACAUGAGUGACUCGGUUGGUUAAGUGCCUACCUUCGGCUCAGGUCAUGAUCCCAGGGUCCUGGGGUUAAGCCCCACAUUGGGCUUCCUGCUCAGCGGGGAGACCACUUCUCCUCUGCCCUCACUCUGCUCUUGUGCUCUUUCUCUCUCUCAAAUAAAUAAAUAAAAC